UACGAAGGGUGCAAGCGUUACUCGGAAUUACUGGGCGUAAAGCGUGCGUAGGUGGUGAGUUAAGUCUGUCGUGAAAGCCCCGGGCUCAACCUGGGAAUGGCGAUGGAUACUGGCUCGCUAGAGUGCGGUAGAGGAGAGUGGAAUUCCCGGUGUAGCGGUGAAAUGCGCAGAUAUCAGGAAGAACACCCGUGGCGAAGGCGGUUCUCUGGGACGGUACUGACGCUGGAGACGCGAAAGCGUGGGGAGCGAACAGG
rnacentral:rRNA from 1 species